UCCGGUUUGUCACCGGCAGUCCCGACAGAGUCCCCGCCAGUCUUUCGACCGCGCUGGCAACAGUCGGCAAGGGUUGCGCUCGUUGCGGGACUUAACCCAACACCUCACGGCACGAGCUGACGACGGCUAUGCAGCACCUUGCUUUGUGUCCCGAAGGAAAGCCCCAUCUCUGGGGCGGUCACGCGCAUUCUAGCCUAGGUAAGGUUCCUCGCGUAUCAUCGAAUUAAACCACAUGCUCCACCGUUUGUGCGGGCCCCCGUCAAUUCCUUUGAGUUUCACCCUUGCGGGCGUACUCCCCAGGUGGAUUACUUAACGCUUUCGCUAAGACGCUGACUGUGUAUCGCCAACAUCGAGUAAUCAUCGUUUACAGCGUGGACUAC
rnacentral:misc_RNA from 1 species